rnacentral:rRNA from 1 species
UACGUAGGGGGCGAGCGUUGUCCGGAAUCAUUGGGCGUAAAGCGCGUGUAGGCGGUUCGGUAAGUCUGCUGUGAAAGUCCAGGGCUCAACCCCUGGGAUGCCGGUGGAUACUGCCGAACUAGAGUGCGGAAGAGGCGAGUGGAAUUCCCGGUGUAGCGGUGAAAUGCGCAGAUAUCGGGAGGAACACCAAUUGCGAAGGCAGCUCGCUGGGACGUUACUGACGCUGAGACGCGAAAGCGUGGGGAGCGAACAGG